GAUGAACGCUAGCUACAGGCUUAACACAUGCAAGUCGAGGGGAAACGGCAUUGAGUGCUUGCACUCUUUGGACGUCGACCGGCGCACGGGUGAGUAACGCGUAUCCAACCUUCCCAUUACUGUGGGAUAACCUGCCGAAAGGCAGACUAAUACCGCAUGGUCUUCGAUGACGGCAUCAGAUUUGAAGUAAAGAUUUAUCGGUAAUGGAUGGGGAUGCGUCUGAUUAGCUUGUUGGCGGGGUAACGGCCCACCAAGGCGACGAUCAGUAGGGGUUCUGAGAGGAAGGUCCCCCACAUUGGAACUGAGACACGGUCCAAACUCCUACGGGAGGCAGCAGUGAGGAAUAUUGGUCAAUGGACGUAAGUCUGAACCAGCCAAGUAGCGUGCAGGAUGACGGCCCUAUGGGUUGUAAACUGCUUUUGUAUGGGGAUAAAGUCAGUCACGUGUGAUUGUUUGCAGGUACCAUACGAAUAAGGACCGGCUAAUUCCGUGCCAGCAGCCGCGGUAAUACGGAAGGUCCAGGCGUUAUCCGGAUUUAUUGGGUUUAAAGGGAGCGUAGGCCGGAGAUUAAGUGUGUUGUGAAAUGUAGACGCUCAACGUCUGACUUGCAGCGCAUACUGGUUUCCUUGAGUACGCACAACGUUGGCGGAAUUCGUCGUGUAGCGGUGAAAUGCUUAGAUAUGACGAAGAACUCCGAUUGCGAAGGCAGCUGACGGGAGCGCAACUGACGCUUAAGCUCGAAGGUGCGGGUAUCAAACAGGAUUAGAUACCCUGGUAGUCCGCACAGUAAACGAUGGAUGCCCGCUGUUGGUACCUGGUAUCAGCGGCUAAGCGAAAGCAUUAAGCAUCCCACCUGGGGAGUACGCCGGCAACGGUGAAACUCAAAGGAAUUGACGGGGGCCCGCACAAGCGGAGGAACAUGUGGUUUAAUUCGAUGAUACGCGAGGAACCUUACCCGGGCUUGAAUUGCAGAGGAAGUAUUUAG
rnacentral:rRNA from 1 species